rnacentral:rRNA from 1 species
GAUGAACGCUGGCGGCGUGCCUAAUACAUGCAAGUCGAGCGAACGGACGAGAAGUUUGCUUCUCUGAUGUUAGCGGCGGACGGGUGAGUAACACGUGUAUAACCUACCUAUAAGACUGGGAUAACUUCGGGAAACCGUGGCUAAUACCGGAUAAUAUUUUGAACCGCAUGGUUCAAAAGUGAAAGACGGUCUUGCUGUCACUUAUAGAUGGAUCCGCGCUGCAUUAGCUAGUUGGUAGGGUAACGGCUUACCAAGGCAACGAUGCAUAGCCGACCUGAGAGGGGGUACGGCCACUGAGGAAGUGAGAGGCGGUACUGGGUCUGAGGGGAGGCCGCAGUAGGGACGGGACGGAACUGGGCGGAAGCCUGACGGAGCAACGCAGGGUGGGUGAUGAAGGUCUGCGUAUCGUAAAACGGUGUUAUGAUUGAAGACCGUAUGUGUAAGUAACUGUGCGCAUCUUGACGGUACCUAAACAGAAAGCCACGGCUAAUUACGU